AUGGGAGGUUCAAGGAGUAAUAAUGGCAUCAUGAACGGUGGUGGAAGAAGAAGAAGCAUGAUCUGUGAGAGACGUCCAAUUCCAAAAAGAGGACAAGUGAAAGCUGGAAUAGUAGUUGGUCUAGCCAUCUCUGUAGCUUCCAUUUUCUCACGACGCAGGAUUGCACCUAGAAGCUGUUCUUCUCAGUAA